rnacentral:rRNA from 1 species
CUUGUUUCUCGGGUGGCGAGCGGCGGACGAGAGAGUAAUGCCUGGGAAAUUGCCCUGAUGUGGGGGACAAUCAUUGGAAACGAUGGCUAAUACCGCAUGAUGCCUACGGGCCAAAAAGGGGGACCUUCGGGACUCUCGCGUCAGGAUAUGCCCCGUUGGGAUUAGCUAGGUGGUGAGGUAAGGUCUCACCAAGGCGACGAUCCCCAGCGUGGUCUGAGAGGAUGAUCAGCCACACUGGAACUGAUACGCGGGCCAGACUCCUACGGUAGGCAGCAGUGGGGAAUAUUGCACAAUGGGCGCAAGCCUGAUGCAUCCAUGCCGCGUGUGUGAAGAAGGCCUUCUGGUUGUAAAGCACUUUCAUUAGGGAGGAAGGUGGUAGUGUUAAUAGCGCUAUCAUUUGACGUUACCUACUGAAGAAGCACCGGCUAACUCCGUGCCAGCAACCGCGGUAAUACGGAGGGUGCGAGCGUUAAUCGGAAUUACUGGGCGUAAAGCGCAUGCAGGUGGUUUGUUAAGUCAGAUGUGAAAGCCCCGGGCUCAACCUGAGAAUUGCAUUUGAAACUGGCAAACU